AGCGAACGCUGGCGGCAGGCCUAACACAUGCAAGUCGAACGAAGUCUUCGGACUUAGUGGCGGACGGGUGAGUAACACGUGGGAACGUGCCUUUAGGUUCGGAAUAACUCAGGGAAACUUGUGCUAAUACCGAAUGUGCCCUUCGGGGGAAAGAUUUAUCGCCUUUAGAGCGGCCCGCGUCUGAUUAGCUAGUUGGUGAGGUAAAGGCUCACCAAGGCUACGAUCAGUAGCCGGUCUGAGAGGAUGACCAGCCACAUUGGGACUGAGACACGGCCCAAACUCCUACGGGAGGCAGCAGUGGGGAAUCUUGCGCAAUGGGCGAAAGCCUGACGCAGCCAUGCCGCGUGGAUGAUGAAGGUCUUAGGAUUGUAAAAUCCUUUCACCGGUGAAGAUAAUGACUGUAGCCGGAGAAGAAGCCCCGGCUAACUUCGUGCCAGCCGCCGCCGUAAAAC
rnacentral:rRNA from 1 species